AUAUGUGAGAUUGUGUUGUAAGCUAACACAUGCUUAUUGACCCACAUUGUCCUGUGCAAUUUGGUGGUGUUUGCCAUCACCAAUAGUGCAGAGAACAGUUUUUGCUCCUACUCUCUCUCCCUUAGUCUCUCUAUUGCUGCUCUUUCUCUCUAUGUGUGUGUGUGUGUGUGUGUGUGUGUGUGUGUGUGUGUGUGUGUGUGUGUGUGUGUGUGUGUGUGUGUGUGGUGUAGAUUUCAUCAUGGCUCAAAAGAAGUUUAGGCCCUGCCCCUCCUGCCAAGAACCUAACCAGGUGAGCCGAAAAACCUGCAGCAGUUGUUUCGCAGCUCUCUCAAACAAGGGAAAACUAAAGGCCAAAACGGGGUCCCUGGAUAGGAAGUGGGCGGAAGGGGUCCUGAAAAAUCGAAACGCGGGAAGAGUGGUGAACUCUGCCCAUAUUGCAGUGAAAAAACUAAGUGCAUUGGGCUAUGUCCCAAUUUUAUUUUAUGCCAGAAGGGAGAAAGCCUCUGGAAAGUGGGUGGCUGAUGUGAUGAACCAUCUGCCACCCACUGAGGAUAACCUCAAAAUUUUAGCCAGUAUGAAAAAGGCAUACAAUUUUGUUUUGCUUAAAGAAGGUAGGAUUUGUUUAAUUUAAAAGUCAUGACAGUUUUAAACGUUUUGCCUUUGCUGAUGUGUACAUAUCGAAUAUCAACAUACACAUUUAAUAUUGUAGGGAGCCAGCCCCAG